UACGUAGGGUGCGAGCGUUAAUCGGAAUUACUGGGCGUAAAGCGUGCGCAGGCGGUUCGUUGUGUCGGCGGUGAAAGCCCGGGCUCAACCUGGGAAUGGCCGUUGAAACUGGCGAACUGGAGUGUGGCAGAGGGGGGUGGAAUUCCGCGUGUAGCAGUGAAAUGCGUAGAUAUGUGGAGGAAUACCGAUGGCGAAGGCAGCCCCCUGGGAUAACGACUGACGCUCAUGCACGAAAGCGUGGGGAGCAAACAGG
rnacentral:rRNA from 1 species